GACGAACGCUGGCGGCGUGCUUAACACAUGCAAGUCGAACGCUGAAGCUUGGUGCUUGCCCUGGGUGGAUGAGUGGCGAGCGGGUGAGUAAUACGUGAGUAACCUGCCCUUGACUCUGGGAUAAGCCUGGGAAACUGGGUCUAAUACUGGAUACGACAUGUCACCGCAUGGUGGUGUGUGGAAAGGGUUUUACUGGUUUUGGAUGGGCUCACGGCCUAUCAGCUUGUUGGUGGGGUAAUGGCUCACCAAGGCGACGACGGGUAGCCGGCCUGAGAGGGUGACCGGCCACACUGGGACUGAGACACGGCCCAGACUCCUACGGGAGGCAGCAGUGGGGAAUAUUGCACAAUGGGCGGAAGCCUGAUGCAGCGACGCCGCGUGAGGGAUGACGGCCUUCGGGUUGUAAACCUCUUUCAGCACGGAAGAAGCGAAAGUGACGGUACGUGCAGAAGAAGCGCCGGCUAACUACGUG
rnacentral:rRNA from 1 species